CGAACAGACGAGGAGCUUGCUCCUCUGACGUUAGCGGCGGACGGGUGAGUAACACGUGGAUAACCUACCUAUAAGACUGGGAUAACUUCGGGAAACCGGAGCUAAUACCGGAUAAUAUAUUGAACCGCAUGGUUCAAUAGUGAAAGACGGUUUUGCUGUCACUUAUAGAUGGAUCCGCGCCGCAUUAGCUAGUUGGUAAGGUAACGGCUUACCAAGGCAACGAUGCGUAGCCGACCUGAGAGGGUGAUCGGCCACACUGGAACUGAGACACGGUCCAGACUCCUACGGGAGGCAGCAGUGGGGAAUCUUCCGCAAUGGGCGAAAGCUUGACGGAGCAACGCCGCGUGAGUGAUGAAGGUCUUCGGAUCGUAAAACUCUGUUAUUAGGGAAGAACAAAUGUGUAAGUAACUAUGCACGUCUUGACGGUACCUAAUCAGAAAGCCACGGCUAACUACGUGCCAGCAGCCGCGGUAAUACGUAGGUGGCAAGCGUUAUCCGGAAUUAUUGGGCGUAAAGCGCGCGUAGGCGGUUUUUUAAGUCUGAUGUGAAGGCCCACGGCUCAACCGUGGAGGGUCAUUGGAAACUGGAAAACUUGAGUGCAGAAGAGGAAAGUGGAAUUCCAUGUGUAGCGGUGAAAUGCGCAGAGAUAUGGAGGAACACCAGUGGCGAAGGCGACUUUCUGGUCUGUAACUGACGCUGAUGUGCGAAAGCG
rnacentral:rRNA from 1 species